GAUGAACGCUGGCGGCGUGCCUAAUACAUGCAAGUCGAGCGAACGGACGAGAAGCUUGCUUCUCUGAUGUUAGCGGCGGACGGGUGAGUAACGCGUGGAUAACCUACCUAUAAGACUGGGAUAACUUCGGGAAACCGGAGCUAAUACCGGAUAAUAUUUUGAACCGCAUGGUUCAAAAGUGAAAGACGGUCUUGCUGUCACUUAUAGAUGGAUCCGCGCUGCAUUAGCUAGUUGGUAAGGUAACGGCUUACCAAGGCAACGAUGCAUAGCCGACCUGAGAGGGUGAUCGGCCACACUGGAACUGAGACACGGUCCAGACUCCUACGGGAGGCAGCAGUAGGGAAUCUUCCGCAAUGGGCGAAAGCCUGACGGAGCAACGCCGCGUGAGUGAUGAAGGUCUUCGGAUCGUAAAACUCUGUUAUUAGGGAAGAACAUAUGUGUAAGUAACUGUGCACAUCUUGACGGUACCUAAUCAGAAAGCCACGGCUAACUACGUGCCAGCAGCCGCGGUAAUACGUAGGUGGCAAGCGUUAUCCGGAAUUAUUGGGCGUAAAGCGCGCGUAGGCGGUUUUUUAAGUCUGAUGUGAAAGCCCACGGCUCAACCGUGGAGGGUCAUUGGAAACUGGAAAACUUGAGUGCAGAAGAGGAAAGUGGAAUUCCAUGUGUAGCGGUGAAAUGCGCAGAGAUAUGGAGGAACACCAGUGGCGAAGGCGACUUUCUGGUCUGUAACUGACGCUGAUGUGCGAAAGCGUGGGGAUCAAACAGGAUUAGAUACCCUGGUAGUCCACGCCGUAAACGAUGAGUGCUAAGUGUUAGGGGGUUUCCGCCCCUUAGUGCUGCAGCUAACGCAUUAAGCACUCCGCCUGGGGAGUACGACCGCAAGGUUGAAACUCAAAGGAAUUGACGGGGACCCGCACAAGCGGUGGAGCAUGUGGUUUAAUUCGAAGCAACGCGAAGAACCUUACCAAAUCUUGACAUCCUUUGACAACUCUAGAGAUAGAGCCUUCCCCUUCGGGGGACAAAGUGACAGGUGGUGCAUGGUUGUCGUCAGCUCGUGUCGUGAGAUGUUGGGUUAAGUCCCGCAACGAGCGCAACCCUUAAGCUUAGUUGCCAUCAUUAAGUUGGGCACUCUAAGUUGACUGCCGGUGACAAACCGGAGGAAGGUGGGGAUGACGUCAAAUCAUCAUGCCCCUUAUGAUUUGGGCUACACACGUGCUACAAUGGACAAUACAAAGGGCAGCGAAACCGCGAGGUCAAGCAAAUCCCAUAAAGUUGUUCUCAGUUCGGAUUGUAGUCUGCAACUCGACUACAUGAAGCUGGAAUCGCUAGUAAUCGUAGAUCAGCAUGCUACGGUGAAUACGUUCCCGGGUCU
rnacentral:rRNA from 1 species